CCGAGUUUACAACUCCCAAACCCAUGUGAACAUUACCAACUGUUGCCUCGGCGGGAUCAGCCGCUCCCGGUGCUAAAAGCCCGGACCAGGCCCGCCAGAGGACCACCUAAACUCUUCUGUUCCCUCCGACUAUUCGUACACUCUGAGCUAAAACAUUCAAAUAAUCA
rnacentral:misc_RNA from 1 species